rnacentral:rRNA from 1 species
CCUACGGGAGGCAGCAGUAGGGAAUAUUGCUCAAUGGGGGAAACUCUGAAGCAGCAACGCCGCGUGGAGGAUGAAGGUUUUCGGAUUGUAAAAUCCUUUUGUUAGAGAAGAUAAUGACGGUAUGUAACGAAUAAGCACCGGCUAACUCCGUGCAAGUAGCCGCGGUAAUACGGAGGGUGCAAGCGUUACUCGGAAUCACUGGGCGUAAAGAGCACGCAGGCGGGAUAGCAAGUCAGUUGUGAAAUCCUAUGGCUUAACCAUAGAACUGCAAUUGAAACUGUUAUUCUAGAGUAUGGGAGAGGUAGGUGGAAUUCGUGGUGUAGCUGUAAAAUCCGUAGAGAUCAAGAGGAAUACUCAUUGCGAAGGCGACCUGCUAGAACAUAACUGACGCUGAUGCGCGAAAGCGUGGGGAGCAAACAGGAUUAGAUACCCUUGUAGUC